CCACAGCAGCCUCUGUGUGGGAUAGAUGCAGUGCUCUGUAGUAUAAAGCACUCUGUCAGUGAGCUGGACUCUCCAAACCAGCAGUCAUCGUCUAACAUCUGCCUUCUUCAGCUGUAACCGUGUGUUUCUCUUGUAAACUUGGCUCUGAUCAUAUGUGCUGUAAUAUUCCAGCUUUGCUUCCCGAUCGUGCUGCACAGUCUGCACAUGCUGGCCGGCUCCCCCAAGCUGAGAGCAGUGGGACUGCGCCUCAUGACCGCUCUGUGGAAAAAACAGGACCGGGUCUACCCAGAGCUGCAGCGUCUAAUGAGCCAGCAGGACAGCAGGGUGGUGCUGGGGAGGGACGCCCAGUGGGAGCAGAUCCUGGCCAGGGCCGCCUGUGUCAGGGACAUCUGCAGAGAGAGGCCUUACCAGCAUGCAGGG